CGAGCCGCAACGUGCGGGUCUUGCCUUCCCCCAGCCACUGCUGGCUCCAGCCUCAGCAGCGCCAGGACAAAUCAAAUCCAAGUGCUUUGGUACCGAGACAGCACAGGCGUAUCGGAGCCGAGCCCGCUCUGUCCGCCCGGCGAGGCUUUCGAGGCGGCCGCGGUUUCCCCGCCAGCCUUAUCCCGGCGUCCUCGCCCCGCCUGCAGCGCGGCCUGGCACGGCUGUCCCUAGGAAACGGGUGCUAGGCCCGGUGUGCUGCUCUGGCUCCCGUCGGCGAGAUCUCGACCCCGACGUGUCGCAGAGACGAGGAGCUCGACGGCCAUUUACCGCGGCUGCCCGGCUGAGCGCCUUCAGCUCGGCGCUGCUCGCGGGGCGGCAGGGAGCGCUCCGGGCGAGCGCCUGCAGGCAUCGCUCAGGCAGAGCGGCUCGCUGGGGAGAUUUACAAGGAGCUGGCGCCUGCGAAAAAUAACGAUUAGAAGCCACACUACGCACCAAGCAUUCACUCAGGGACCCGGUCGAGGACGAUUUUCUGUGACAGGAGGUAUUCUGAUCUACGUCCUGUAGAGCUGGUAAAGACAGAUGCCAUGUUUGUCAUAUCUCAAGAGGCUUCUUAAGACUGUCCCAUGAAGGCAGAGAAAUGCAAGAACAAUUAAGUCCAGUAUAGAUCAAUAGCAAGAUGACAGCAGUGAUAGUCUUCAGAAUAAAAUCUUUUAUUCAUCAAUAAAACUAUAGUUUACAGUAGUAUUUUCUAAAUAAAUUAUAGAAUUUCUCUUUUACAAGAAAUAAAGUAAAAUCAAAAAUAUUUCAAGAACAAUAUAUGUACACAACAUAAGGCCUUGUUAUAAAUAACAUUUUUAUCUCCUUUUUACCAACAGUAAAAGUAUCUUUAGAAGCUCAUUUUGAUAUGGUAUGUGCAGAGAUUUGCCCUAACCCUCAUACAACAUCAGUUCCAGUUUCCACUGAUGUGGAACUAAGCAAUUAGAAAAAUGGGUCAGAAAAAUGAAAUUGAUUUUAUUCACCACUGUGUUUGUUUUUAAAUAGGUAAAGUAGGUAAUAGAUUUUGCUUGUGCAUAGUUACAGAAUGCAUGCAAAUGAAACCACUAGAGAGCUGAUAAGAAAAUAUUUCUUCAGAGUCCAAAAAAUGUGAUUGGCAAUAUUGUAGAAAGCAGCCUGAAUACACAGUUCUUCACAGUUGAGCAAGCAACAGCAGAUGACAGCAGAGUGUGGAAUGUUUCAUGUCAUUUUUGUCAAGUCCAUCAAUUCUUUCUAUGGUUCAAAUAUCCUGACACUUCUUAGAAUUAGUUCUGUUGAUUAUUACUCUUUGUCUAUUAGGCUCAGCAGAGUCUUCCUUCUGAAACAAGGAGUGCAGAAAGUGCUCUUCAUUAACCAUGGUCACUUCCCUUAGUUUUACUCUUCAUGUAUUCUUUGUUACUGGGAAUACAGAAAUGACAAGUUAAGAGUUGUGUUUACUUGUUUUCUUACAGAAUUAUACACAGGGUAACAUUUUUCUUCCCCUAAACAGACUGCAGUACAAUUUGGCAGUGAUUCUCUUAUGACCAUGAGCCCUGAUCAAAAGCACUGAGAUCUCUUGUACAACAGCAAACCCCUCGGUGUUUUGCAGGAAUUGCAGUACACUUGUAUUACAUGAACUAGAACUACUUGCUGCAAAAUGCUGAACACUGUGGAUAUCAGAGAAACAUAACAAUCUGAGAUCACUCAGCAGUUAACAACAGCUUAUUUUUAUCUUGCAAAACUGUGGUAUUCACUACUUAAAAAGUAACAGUCUUCAUAUGUCACGAAUAUCAGUGCUCUCAGUUUUCGCAUGACAGUCUUCCCCCAGAUGAAAAAUCAUACCUAUCAAAAAACUUUCAGGCACAACUAAUGUUCAAAAAAUACCAAAACAAAACAAAAACAGCAGCAACUACAAACAAAACAAAACACACAAAAAAAAUCCCAAACAACAACAACAACAAAAAAACCCAAACCCAAAAAACCCCGAAAUAAUUAAUAAUCUUAAUGGAUUACAGUUUUCUAAGCUACCCUCAUGUCAUAGAAACAGCUGGUCACUUCUUGGCAUCCCUGUAGAGUUAGAGAUGAACUGAAAAUAAACUCUUUUUACUGAACAUUUUGUUAUGACAACUCAAACUGAAGUGAUAGCUGAAGAAUAUAUUUCAGUAAACUGAAUGCAUCUCAGCUGACAUAUCCAAAAUGAAGCAAGACACAAAAUCAAAACAAAGGGAUCUGUAAUGACCUUACUCUAAAACCUCAUUAAAACACAUUACAAGGAUGUAAGGUUCCAUUUAUUAAACAGAUUUUUAAUGUUUCCUUUACAUUAUGCUUUUUGAUACAAGCACUUAACUAACCUUUAAAUAGUUUGACAACUAUAGUCUAACUAUGAUUAUGAACAAAAAAUCUGAAGGCAUUUAAGUUUAUAUCAGAUAAAGGUAACCAGUAGAUUUAAAUCAAUAUUUUUGUUAUCACUUCUAGCACUACCCCUUGAACCUUGAGGAAUAAUAUUUCAGUAUUGUUCCAUGAAAACUUUAAAUUCCCUACUGUAUUGUGCACCAGUGUUAGGGUGUUCAUAAUCACUGAUGCCAUUGAGCACAGUGCCAGUUUCUCAGGUGCUGUGUGCUCGCUCUCUCAGGAACUGUGGUCUGGCAAGUAGAGUUGAUGGACAUAUUAGCACCUGAAUGUGCUAAGGCAGUAAAGUACUUACAAAGUACAGAACAAUUUAAUAUGUGAAGUGAAAUUGUUGGACAAGUGAGUAAAAUUAAAGAAAGUGGUAUUCUAAAAUCAAUGUGAUGUAAAGCUAACAGGAACUUUUAAUUAAUUUUACUGCUUUUCACUAAAGUGGCUGUUGGUAUGCAGGACAUGAUCCUCUGGGCAACAUUGUAUCCACUACACAACUUUUGGGGUUUCAUUGAUUACAGAUAAAGGAAACUUUUUUUAAUUUUUUUUUUUUUUUAAUAAAAACGGAGUUUGGCUGUAGCAAUUUGGUCCAAAAUGAUAAAUAAUGCAUAAAUGACAUUACAGGAAUCAUUCCUAUAAUCGUUGCCUGAGAUGUCUCACACUCGGUAUAUAACACAAUAAUGUAUAUAUUUAUGUAAUAAAAUACAAUGUUUGAGCCUACUUGAGGCAUUUUGUUGCGGAGCAUUUUUGUGCUCCAGUUCUCUUUCCAUGGAUAUGUUUUUGAGCUGAUUUAUUGCCUCUUACAGUGUUUUAAAAGGCCCAGGCAUGAGAACAUGUAGUUCCGUGAUAAUACGUGCUGGCAUUUUAGCACUUGGCUUCCUCAGGCAACAUAUUGCUCGUGAUCUGAAUUGGUACCUUUUUAAUCGAAUCAAGCACCUAAUUCCUGUGUCUGAUUUUCAUGCAAGGGUAACUAAAAUGUUCUUUCUUACAUAUGUUUCUUCUGCAAGAACAGCUCUGCCAAACUACAUUUGAGUGCUCAUUUGUUUUUCACCUCCGACCAGGUUUCAGUUUUAUGGGACACAUAGGCCUCAUUUUUUCCUCUUCUGUUUGGGAUCAUGCAUGGAUGGAUACAGGGAAAACAGAUAAAACAGAGGAAAUGAGCUGUUAACUGUGCUGCAUAAAACAAGUUGGUUUGCCCCUUUCAGCCUUGAACAGCUUUCUGUUUUGAGGAGAGUGCUUGAUUGACUCUACAUGCGCACAUAACAUUUUAAAGAUUAUUAUACUUUCAGGGGAAAGAAAGGAUGCCUGUAAGUGAGGAGGUCUUAAUUCCUUUCUCAUAAUUCCAGUAUUCAGGUUCAGUCUACCGAGCUUUUCCACCAGUAUCUUCAGAGGAGAUGGUGAGGCAGAGAAACUGAAGUUUCCAUAAAAAGAGCAACAUACCAAAAUUUGAGGUAUGCUGUGCAGUGUGACUGCACAACUUCUAGCUUGGUUUUUUUUUUUAUGUAUUCUGCCUGGGAAUGGCUUUAAUUUCAGCUGCACUUUUUAUUAUUCCACAAAGAACCUUGAAGACAACUACAUCAUUAUUAAAAUUUAAUUGAAAUUAUGGGACAGAGUACAGAAGAAAAGGAGUACUGAAGAGUAAGAAGAGUCAGAAAGUUUUGACAGCUUCUAAACAAGCAUUUUAUAGGCCAAUAAUUGUUAAUCAGCAUACCUAUGCAUCUACAGUGGCUUUGAAAGACAUAAUUAAUCUUCAAUAUUAUUUUAAGACUUCAAAAUCCUAAAAUAAAAUUGGCAUUUGGAAAUAAACCACAUCAUAAGUAAUUUUAAAUGUAAUAGUAUAAUCUAUGCAAUCCUUCUGACACAAAUCAUAGCUACACUAAUCAGGUUCUAAAUACACUGAGCUUGCUCAUCACUACAAUUUUUCCAUUAUUUUAUUUUACUGAAGCCCUUCUCAAUCCAUAUUUUCAGUAGCAGUGACGUUUAAAUAUAAAUUUUAUGAGCCUUUCCUUUAACAGCAGGAAGCAAUGCUGCAUUUUCAUGUGAAAACUUCUGUACUACUCAAGAAUUUUGCAUAGUAGUUAAAUACACAGAAGUAUUCUGUAAGUGAAAAAUAAUUCAUUAAUGAAAUCCUAUAGGCAGGAUCUAUGUUUAUUUAAGAUCCUAUAGACUGGACACAUAUUUAUUUAUUAAUUUAAAUAUUAUAUGUACCACCAGAUGACUUAACAUAUGCAACAUCACAAUGGAACAAAUGUAAACAUUUUUCACUGCUGUUUACAUGCAUGUCCUUUUUCUGUUGGAAGUAUAAGGGAAAUCAAUCACACUACUUGAAUUAAAUCAAUUAAAUACCUAAGCCUUACUACUUACUUACUGAUUUUACUGACAUUGUAGUACAGUAUACCAGCUAUCUUUAUAAAUAAUUUCAUGGGAAGGCAAAGAAAACACAGUAGGAUAGUUUAUAAUAACAUGUGUUGCUUUUUUAGCUAGAGAAAACUCAAUUAAAAAUGUGAUACUUCACUGCAAAACAGAAGGAGUAAGGUGACUUUUAUUCCUUACUUUUUAAGUGGAAUUAUCAUUUUUAAGGCACUCCAUAGUGAUGCUGGACUAAGGUCUUCAGGAUUGGUCGCACUUGUUAUGGAACUUUUGCAGUAUUGGACUUCUGUCUUUUACUAAUCAAAUUCCACAGAACACUGAGACACUGACAACAGCAUUUGUUGACGAUGCCUGAACUGAAACCAAUCUUAAGGGCUUCAAGGGAAUUUUAAAAGAGAUUAAAUUUAUUUACAGAGAAAUAAGGAAACCCUGUUUUGUGGAUUUCUGCAUUAAAGUGCUAAAUGGAAGUGUGUUACCUUCUCUGUUUCUGGCUUAUAUACAAGAAACCUGUUUAUCUCAGACAAUCUUUUGUUUCCAACUGUCUGAUCUAUCAUUGUAUUACAUAUUCAUAAAAGCAAGAAGACUUUAAUGUUUGAAUUUAUGCAGAGAAACAUUUCAAAUUUAGAAGCUUCUCCUGUACCUCCUAUCUUUUAUUUAUUAUUUAUUAUUAUUUUUAUUUAUUAUUUAUUCCUUCUAUUUGAUUGAUAAUUAAAAUUAUUUAUAUUAAUCAGUAUCAUAACUAUGUUACUAGAAUAAUUUGAAAUAAUUUAGAUUGUCUUAUACCUACUGCUCAUUGCAGAUGAUGCUUAGUCAUAUUCUAGUCAUAAAAGCUAGAUUUCUUAAGCUAUUAUCUGGGUUAAAAGUUUUAUAAGAAAAUAAACCAAUGUAACUUAAAAGUAAACUUGAUUUGAAAAUGUACUUAAUGGUGCUUCUCAGAGUUGCAGGUGAAAAAAAUGCUAGUUUGAACUUGGGUCUUUUAUCAGUAUUAAGGAAUUAUGAGCCCAGACCAGCAUUCAGUUGUGAACCCAAGACGUCUCUCUACUUGUGUCCUGGAACAAGAAUUCUUGUAACCUGCUGUUACCAGGUACAUUCUCAGUUUUGACAUCAGCAGCAUAGUGUAAGUUUGCUUGGAGUUCCCUUAAUAUAACACCUCAAAUCCAAUACUAUUACCUGUAAGAGGAAUUAUUUUUUUUUUUUACAACUUUUUUUCUGUUCCACCUCACCUUACUCGACUAUCAGAAUUUCCACACAAAACUGUUCAGACAAUGCCAUUUUAAAGCUGCUCUUUAUAGUAGAUUAACACAAUGUCAUUUUAUGACAAUUAUUUUCUAUACAUGGGACCAAAAAUUCAUAGCUCUUACUUCACUGGUGGACUAAAAUUUGUCCAAAAGAGUUAGCAUUUCAAAACAGGAGGCAAAGACAUCAAAGGAUUAAUGGUGCCCAAAAUUAAGCAAGUUAAGGUUUUUUCCUUAAAAUAUAUAGUGGGUAAGACUUCAGCAGCCUUCCUUGUGGUAGAAACACAAAGAUUAUGGAUCACAGGGUUAAAGGAAAAUCUGCAAAUGCCAUUUAAAACUGUUUUUCUCCUUGCAUUUUGAUCUUUUAAAAGUACAUCUUGUAACCUUUCAUUGAUUUGCUUUAUUUUUGAGAUGUCCAUUAGAAAUGACUAGCCUGUUCCUAGUGUUCUCAAAAACAUGCCUCUUUUCCUUCUAACAUGCAUUUAAUCAUCCUUCUAUAAAAGCAAAAUUGUCUUCUGGCCAGCACUUAUACUUUAGUAUAAUCAGGUUUUCCUAGCCACAGGCUAAUUGUUGUUUCCAGGUCCACUGAAGGAUAUUACGGGGCAUCAGGAAGUAUCAGAUUAGUAGAUGGACAGCAUACUAUUCCGUUUCUUCCACAAACACCUCAGGAUGCAUACAGGGUAUAUGUGAAUAAGUUAAAGCUCACUGCCACAACAAUCUCAAAACAGUUAAGUAGGCAUCAAUACAGGGUGUGGGACAUGAGACAGAAGGCAGGGGUAAGUAACUUCUCAAGAUGAGUUUGCUUAAGAAGUAACGUGUGCUUAGCUGUGGUAUCCAAUUUCCUUGAAGACAGCAUACCGAGGGAGUUAAGCCAUUAUCUUGUUAUUGAAUUUUGAAUUUGUUUUUCUUCAAGGUGCUGAGGAAGGGUGCUGCUAGUUCCAAAAAGCAUCUGAUUCUCUCCACUUAAGACCUAGUUAUUCUUCCACACCUUUGCUCAGGGGAAUAAACAGUGGGUAUUUGUAUGACAUCCAAAGUUGGGUUUUAAUUAUUCUUCUGUUGAUAUUCAUCAGUGGAAUACUCAUCUACUUGUUGCAGUCUCUGAGACAUAAUAGUAAUGAAUGUUCUACAAGCUGAAAACUAACUAAAGUGAUGAUUAUCACACCUGAAACUCAUACAGACACCAUUACAAAAGGUGUUACCUGUGCCUGUCACUAGAUUUUCAGAGCAUUCCACCAUCCAUCCUACAGACUUCAAAUUGAAAAAGAAAUACUUCACAGUGCUAAGCAGUAUUAUUCUUAAAGAAAACCAUUGCUUUAUAAACUAAAUUCAAAAGCUAUGAAGAAGAAAUUGUUUCACCGUUUAAAGGGGGCCAAAAGAACCACAGAUCAGCACAGGCUAAAGGGACCAUAAGAGGCUAUCUAAUUCAGCCUUUUGCAGGAAAGGCAGCCUGGAUGAGAUUAUUGAGCAUCACUGUCCAGCUGUGUCUUGAAAACCUCCUGUGAUGGGGAUUUUACUGCAUAUCCCUGGGAAGUUGUUCCAGUGAAUCAUUUGUCAUUAUAAAAUCACACUCAUUGUAAAUAAUUUUCCUUGAAUCAUUCUCAUUGUAAAAACAGUCCUUUCUUACAUAGAGAGGAAAUUUCCCUCACUACAACUUGUAUCCACUGCCUCUAGAGAAAAGGAGGUUCUCAAUACUAUCUGUAGUCAUGCCUUUAAGUUGUGGAAAACUGUGUUGAGGUCCCUCCUCAAAAUUCCUGAGAAAGACCUAACUUUUGGAUAACUUUUGGACUGAAAAGACCUAACUUUUACAGUCUGUCUUCAAAUGUCAAGUUCUCCCCAUCCUUGACCGUCUUUAUGGCGCUCCUUUGACCCAUCUUCAGUCCAUCCACAUCUGUUUUGGAACUGUGGGGGCCAGAACUGGACACACUACUCCAUGUGCGGUCUGACAAGUGCUGGUGAAGCGGGAUGGUCACACCUCUCUCUGUUCAUAGUGCCCCUGUGGAUGCAUCUGAGGAUCCACUUUGCUCAGUAGCUGCAGCAGUGCACUGCUGACCUGGUGUCUGUGUGCUGUCUGCUGGGACCCCUGGGCUCCUCUUGGCAAGGCUGUUCCACAGCUCAUGGCUCCUAGCCUGGCUGGGCUCCGGUUUUGUGCUCCCAGGUGCAGGACCCUGCACUUCCUUGGUUGAACUUCACACAGUUCUUGUAGACCAGUCUUCCAGCCUGUUCAUAUCUCUGAAAGGUGGCUCUCCCUGCUGACAAGUCCCCCUCAACACCCAGUUUAGUGACACAGCAAACGUGGUGAGGGUGUUUUUGGUCCCAUCCAGAUCAUCCAUGGAGAUGCUACAGCAUGGAGCCCAGUACUGAUCCCUGGGGGGCCCCACCUGGCACAGGCUGCCAGCCUCAGUAAAACAUGUUGAUUACCUAUGAGAUGAUUCCUGCUCAUUUCACAGAUCACUGCCAUGCCGUCUAUAUUUGACAUUUGUCUAGCUGUGGGACACAUGAUACCUGUCAAAUGCUUUACUGAAGUGCAGGCAAGCAACAUGCACUGCUUUCUCCAUAUUGACUGAAUAUGGUAAUUUGUUUUAGAAAGGUGAUCAGGUUAGCCUGGCAUGAUUUGUCUGUGAUAAAUCUGUGCUGGAUUUUCCCAGUCACUUGCUUCACUUAAUUGGUAAUAGUUGCUAGGAGGCUUGUUCUGCCACUUUUCCAGGGGCUGCAAUAAGGAUACUAGGACCUCUUUUGGGCCAUUCUUACCGACAGGUAUGAGAUCUGCCCUCUUCCAGUCAUCAGGGAUACCCCCUGAUCUCUAUGAAUUUUCAGAAAUAAUCGGACAGUGGCCCUGCAACAAUACCAGCAACUUCUGCUGACACCCUGGGGUAUAUUCCCUCCUGGGCCUUGCAUUUAUGUGGGUUGAGCACUUGCAGGCCAUUACUGGUGGGUCAACACGUGUGUUGUAGCUGUUUGAUCCUGGGAGCUACAGUCUGGCUCCUGCCACUCCACUGAAGGUACUGAGAACCUUUGUCUUGCCAGCAUUAUCUGUAACUUUUUUCCCUGCCUGGUCUAGUAAUGGGCCUGUGUCUUCCCUGGGCUUCUGCUUAACUGCUGCCUUAGUUUGCAAUGCAAGAUGUAACCAAAAGUAUGUAUUCUAUCACCAUCUGUUAAAACUAGGUGGUGAAGUGUUCUUUAUCUCUUCCAUGACUCAUCCCUGAUAACUCCCUCGGGAAGGGGUGGGGGUGGAUAUCUUCUGCUAAUGGGCCAUCCAGCCUCACUGCAUGACUGAUAAAAUUUUAUCAUCCCACUGUGAGAUGCUCCGCCCAGGGGGAGGAACCAAGCAUUCUACAUCUAAUUGACCAGUGGUACUUGCUACUGUUUUGUGUCAGUGGAGGCAGGACAGACAACAACUCCCCUAAGUGUGCUGGACUAUUAAAUUAGUAGCUAUUAACUGAGUACUAUACUCAACACUUAAGCAUUGCUGACUAAGAAGAAGGAAAAAAACAUCAGUGGCACAGCCUACAGAAAAAGGGAAUAUGACAAACAUUUCAUCUUGAUGUGAGAUCAGACACAAACAUGUUUCAUCUGAACACAAGAAUUUUUUUUUUCCUGGACAGAUAAUUACUAAAACAACUUUUACAAGGAUGUGGCAGAGUUCCCAUUGCUGGAGGUUUUUAAGCUGUGGUGCAAAAGAGUGUUAGAUAACUUAUCUAGGCUCCCUUUUGCGCAACAAAUUGGACUGGAUAAUCUCCUGAGGCUCUGUCAAUCUGAGCUGUUUUAUGAUUCUAAGAUAGUAUGGAUUUCUUAAGACAAAGAUCAGGUAACUCUAGGGAUAAGAAAAAUAAAGAAUACAAUAAAUUUUAUCCAGAAAGGAAACAACCAUGUAUCUGUUAGAACAGAUUUUCCUAUAUUAGAAACUGUUAGAAACAUGAACAAACUUCCCUCCUUUGAUUCUUCAUCUCUGGUACAAUUCUUGCCAUGAGAGUCAAGGGAAAAUAUUACUAAAAUAAUGUCAGAAUUGUUUAUGAUUUAUGAAAAUAAGCCUUUAGGAAAAAAGGCCAAGCUUAAAAUACCUGUCCCUGCAUUUAUACUGACAAUUUCAGAACAGCCUAAAAAAAUUAGAUACAAAAAACUUCACUCAACUGGACCUUGAAUUGGGUGCCUACUGCCUUUAUAUCUGUGGAAUUUGAACUAUGGGUACGAAGAGAACAUUUGAAACACAGGUGAUAUGAAGACAACAAAAUAUAGACUUGACUUUAUCUUUCAGCAGUCAGAUAAAUUGCUUACUUGGAACUGAAACAACAAAGAAAAGAUACAUUUUUAAUCAGCUGUCACAAUUGAACAACCCUUAACAUGAGAAGAGGGGGCCACUGAUAUAUUUCACACUGAGCUCUACUGGCUUAAAAAUCAGUGGCAUAAACACAGAACUUUCCAACUUGAGAAAUUUUAAUCUCUGUAUUGUGAAGUAUUCUACAUGAAGAUGAAAGAUUUUAUUAUUGCUGUUGAUUUGGGGUAUUGGAGGAUCACACCUCCAAUAGAAUAUAACAGAAAAGAUCUCCUACCAUUAGAGAAAAAUGAAAAGGUGUUUUAGCAUACUACAUUAUUAAUUCAAUAGUUAAUAUGCAUAUAAAUUCUUUAUCAGCUUCCUUUGGGAAAUCAUACCUAUGCAAACUUACGCAUUUUCAUACAAAAAAAUACCUCAAUAAACCUCUGAAUUGAAGUUUAGCAGGUAUUUUAGUCACUUACUGAGCCUGAGUCAAAGCAAUUACAAGCACAAAAGCCCAUUAGAAACAGUUUGUCAACUUACUAAAUAGACAUCCAAAACUGAAGCAUUAUCAUUUUCCAUUUCCAAUGUGCUCUGUUCUGAAGUCAAAUAGAUGGCACUGUCUCCCAAAGUGAAUGUUGAACUUGAAGGUAACCCCUUACUGCAAAGAGAAGGGAGAGUACAGUCAACCAAAAGCCCAAGUUACAAAGCUUAGUCAUAACUGAAAAUUUAAAAGUAAGUUCCUCUAUUAAACAUAGAAAUCUUCAAAAUACUUGGAAAAAAUGAAUGAAAUAAAUAAAUAUAGAUAUAUUGACAAUGGCUGAAUAACUGGAAGCUCAUAUUUGACUAAUUGUACAAUUUAUUUUUGCAUUUACUAAAAUUUUAUCAGAAAAUAAUGCUAUUCCUGAACUUCAAUAUUUAUUUAAUGAAUGAAACUAUGUCACAGUAAAUGUCAUAUAAUUUCAUUAAUCUCAAAAUGCAUUACUUCCACAUUAUAAGUGGUGUAAAUUUUGGCAGCAUUUUGUAAUUUAAAAUAGUAAGCAAUUAAGCACAUUGUAACAUUAGUAACAUUGGACUUCUCCAUGCAGACACAGUUCACUAGCAGCCAUAAGUUCAGAAGGGAAAUUGGGAGAGCAAUAGUGUAUUGUAAUUAGUGAUCACACCUAUGCAAGGAAGUGAUGUAUACAGAGCAGGUGCACUCUACUUUAUUCAUUGAUUGAUUUUUUUGUUCUCUGCCUUACAGAAAUAAUGUGAAACUGCAAAUGCACCUCCACAGAAAUUUCACUUUGUAACACACUUGGUCAACAAAGCUGAAACUCUCAAAGGUGUUCUAAUGGAGUCAGAUGUCCCUUAUCGCAUAUCUUACUAGCUGCCAGAAAUUAGGCUCCAGGCUGCCUUGAAAACUCAACUGUCAGUUGUGCAGGGACAUAUUUUAGAUGUUCUUACCUGUUUACUGACAAGGUGAAAAGGAAAAAUUCUGAAUUAUAACUUGGUAUGGAAACAUGGUUACAGCCAUCUGUCCAGAUAUGACAAAUUUCCCCCUCCCUUUGUACUAGUUUAAGUAUAUUUCAGAUGGGAUAGAACUUCAGAAAGGGUAAAACUAGCAUGCACAAUUCAACAUGCAGAAACUAGCAUGUAAAAUUGAGAUUCAAAUGCUCAACAAAAGAAUGAAUCAAUGUCAUCCUGGAACAGAGCUUUACAUUCACCACAUUACAAUGUUCCUUUUAUCAUAUAAUGCACUUGACAUUUUUUAAAAAGCAAGACUAUUUCUCUUGUACUAGGAUGACCCAGGUCCCAUUGACUUAGCAUUAUUGUCAUAUGUGUAACUUGAAUUCUAUUGAGUAGCGUAAGAGAGUAAAAACAAUGCAUCAUCAUAGCUGCAUUUAUUGCCAGUUUUAAUGCAGCCUGAUUUUAAUGAGACUGAUAAGGCAAAGCCAUAUUGGGGGUGGCACAGGAGAGAACAAGUGAAAUCCCCACAUACACAGUGUUUCAGAAAGAGUAAUUCAGAGGAACAGAGUUUUAAUAGAGUUUCUACAGUGCACUGAAUUCUUAUCGUUAAUUCUUAGGUUGAAUAAGAAAAGCCAAGCAAAAAAACCCCAAAUAACAAAAAAACCAAAAAAAAAAAAAAAACCAAAACCAAAACCAAAACAAAACAAAAAAACCCACCAACAACAGCAACAAAAAACCACACAAAAAAACCCCAACAAAACCAAAAAACCACCACCAAAACCUAAAACCAAACAAACAAACAAAAACAAAACAACCAACCAAAAAAACCCCAACAAAACCCCAAAAAACAAACAAACAAAAAAAAACCCCAAACACUUUUUACAGGUACUUUCUCUCAUUCAGUAAUGACCAGCCAUAAGGAGCAUGCUCAGCUAUGUUGUUGCCCUUCUCUGGCUAAUACAUUCUAUUUGAUCUUGGUCUUAAUUAAAAAAAAAAAAAAAAAGGCAAAAAUAAUCCCAUCAUUACAGAACUGGGAAAGCUUUGUUUAAGCCACAAUUACAUGUUGUUUCAAUCAUAGUCAAAUUUUCUUUCAUGUAGGGAUACCCCUAUUGUCUCAGUGCAUCUCUUCAUAGCAUUUGAGCAUUUAAGCCUUUUUCUUCCACCUGACUGCUUAUUUUUAUGAAGCAUGUGUGAAUUUAGUCCACUAUCAAUCAGAUUCAGACAAAGUCGUCUAAGCUUCAGAAUCUAAUAGUAGUGUGUGGACAGACAGAACAUUGAAAUUUAACACACAAAAGUUUGUUUUUGUAGAACACCAACUGACAAAAGGCGUGCUUAAUUGUCCUUACAACAGAAAUACCUGUAAAUCCCUGUCACUGGAAAAAAGUGGCAGAACACCAUUUCAAAGUCUGGAUGCUUCAGGAAGCUUGACUGUGUAAGUGAACAAACCCACAAUGCCUCAAAGCCUUCCAAAAUUCAAAGUGGUCGCCACCAAGAAACAGCAACACAAAGGUGCUGAGCACUCUCAAGGAGAGAGGGGCCUGAUCGCCUUUCUUAUGUUAUAAGCCAUUUGCCUCUCCUUGGGGAAGUAUUACAUUGGAUAACAGAAACAGAGGGUAAUCCUGAAGAAAAACCCCAACCCAAAUAGAAAAUACAGUGUGUGCGUCAAGGUAUCCAAAAGUAUUAUUGCUCUCUUUUUAAUGAGGAAAAUAAUACCAUCUGUUUUCUAAGUGGUAUGAGCACGUACUGCUCAUUAGUAGGAGUCAAGAAGAUGUACAAAUAUCACAUUAUUACUAAGCACACAGGACUCUUCUCCUUUAUUACCUUAAACCAGAAAUUUCUGUCAGGUUACAAGCAAAUUAAUGUACUCUCUACUUUGUGCUAUGUUACUUUGAAGAGCAAUGAAAAAGCCUGAUGAAGAAGAUGCCAAGCUGUAAUUCUAAUAAAUAACAAAGCAGCAUGUCAUAGUCAAUUACUUAUUUAAAGAUUGAAAGCAGGCCCACAUUUGUAAACAAAUCUUUAAUUCAGGCUUUGUUUCAAAGACUGCUCCAAGCUUUCUGUUUAUCAGAGACAAAUGUUAAAUACUGCAUCACAUAAUUUUCUAAUAUUCAAAAGAAGAACUCUGGCAAGAAAAACUUCAGAUCUGAAUCUACAAUUCAGUGCAUCAUUGUAGCAUGGGUUUUUUCGGUGGGUUUAUUUCCCUGCUAGCUUUUAUUAUGAGAGGACUGAAGUUCCUUCAGUGAACCAUAAAAACAUAAGUAAAACUUCAGAUGUAUAUAUUUUUUUAGUGUCAGGAAGAAGGAAUGACCUCUCUGAACCGAUGCCAAAAGAAGUGGGCACAAAACAGCAGAUGCCCCGAAUCUUAUGGAAAUUAGUUCAUGCUUUGCAGCUUUCUUAACUCCUAGCUAUGACAGGGAAGCAAAUCCUCAUGAAUUGUACAUACUAAGAUUGUGACACACUCACUACUUAAUGAGAAUUAAAAAGUGCCUCCAGACCCUAGCUGAAGGGUCUACACAGUUGGUAAGCCCCUAUGGCAGAUCUCUUGGCUACAGUGUAGGUGUUCUGGCAGAAGAUAAAGAGAGCCACACAUCUGUGAAUGCUGGUACCAUGUCUGCUGUGUCAGAGAAUGUGUCCUCUUGUAAAGAUGAACUCCAUAUCUGGACUGCAGACACUAACAAUCUGAUUUUUUAAGAUACACAUGCUAAUCACAUAGCUGGCAACAUGUCCUACAUUAGAGAUUAUUUCAUUGACUGCAUCACUACUGGAAAGUAAAUGAGUCUAGAUGUGCAAUCAUAGUAGACCUGCUAUUUUGUAGUAUGUUUACAGUACAAUAUAAUACUCAUAGGUCUUCUUUACAUUUAAUUUUUUUUAAUUAUUCAAUUUUUAAUUUUUUAAAAAAAUUUAACUGUUUAGCAAAAGAAUAUUUGAAAUGCUUUAAAUCUUAACUCUUUAUUCAAACAACUUCACCAUUUGCUUUUCCUGACUGAUGCUGAUACAAAGCAGUUCUGUAGUUUUAUUUGAUGCUUAAAGUACUCUAUAACUUUAUUUCUAUCAAAGAAAAGAUUUUGUGAAAGAUCAUGAAUAUUGAAGUCCUACAGAUAACUUGACACAAGUUGAAGUGAAUGAGCUCUAUUUCUACUAAUGCUUAUUCAUCAGUAAUUUUAUUUCCUAAAGCUUGUGCAGAAACAUUUUUGUUCUGCAAUAAAAACUUCAUCUUCAUUACACCCCAAAACAUGCUUCAUUCAAUUUUUUAUAGCAAACCAUCAGACAUAUGGAAGAUGCCACAUCAGUGAAAUUUGCUUCAACAUAAUGGAAGUGGAAGCUGUAAAUAUCACUAUCAUCAAGUAAUGCU